UACGUAGGCAGCAAGCGUUGUUCGGAGUUACUGGGCGUAAAGGGUGUGUAGGCGGUUGUUUAAGUUUGGUGUGAAAUCUCCCGGCUCAACUGGGAGGGUGCGCCGUAGACUGUGGGGCUAGAGUGUGGGAGAGGAAAGUGGAAUUCCUGGUGUAGCGGUGAAAUGCGUAGAUAUCAGGAGGAACACCGGUGGUGUAAACGGCUUUCUGGACCAUAACUGACACUGAGGCACGAAAGCGUGGGUAGCAAACAGG
rnacentral:rRNA from 1 species